rnacentral:lncRNA from 1 species
AAAAAAUAAAAAUGAAGGGCCUCCUUCAGGGUGUGUCUCUGCUGUCACAAUAGACAACGUGGACAGCAGUGUGCAGAUAUAAGUCAAUGAGUCUCAGCAAGCCAGUCACAGCCCCGUGAGAUUCAGGCAGAUUUCUGGCUACAAGGCCCAAGUUGAGUUCCCUGUCCUCCUGCAGGGUUGAACUCUGCAAGGUUCUACUGCAGGUCCAGCUGCCCUUCCCCUGAAGAUAGUCCAGGUUCCAAUGGGAGAUGAUGAUCCCUCCAACUUACCACGUACAGUGUUCUGGCCUGAGUCAGAAAAGAAAUUGGGCCUGAACUCACUGGGAUGGACGGACAGCUCCACUGCCGCCCUGCACUGUGGUGUAACCCGGCCUAGCAUGGGUUGUGCUGAUUAUCUCAUCUGCUAACAAGUCCGCCUCGUCCACUGGACUCCAGUCUCUUCAGGACAGAGAAUCUGCCUUAUUAGGCUUUGUGUCACAGCAUUGUGACUGGUGCAUAUAGAU